GACGAACGCUGGCGGCGUGCCUAACACAUGCAAGUCGAGCGGAGACAGAGGCUUCGGCCAAUGUUUUAGCGGCGGACGGGUGAGUAACGCGUGAGCAACCUUUCUCUUACUGGGGAAUAACACAGGGAAACUUGUACUAAUACCGCAUGAGACCACAGAGGGGCAUCCUUCAGAGGUCAAAGAUUUAUCGGUAAGAGGUGGGCUCGCGUCUGAUUAGAUAGUUGGUGGGGUAACGGCCUACCAAGUCGACGAUCAGUAGCCGACCUGAGAGGGUGAUCGGCCACAUUGGGACUGAGACACGGCCCAAACUCCUACGGGAGGCAGCAGUGGGGAAUAUUGGGCAAUGGGGGAAACCCUGACCCAGCAACGCCGCGUGGAGGAAGAAGGUUUUCGGAUCGUAAACUCCUGUCCUCAGGGAAGAGCAGAAGACGGUACCUGAGGAGGAAGCCCCGGCUAACUACGUG
rnacentral:rRNA from 1 species